CCUACGGGUGGCAGCAGUGAGGAAUAUUGGUCAAUGGUCGGGAGACUGAACCAGCCAAGCCGCGUGAGGGAGGAAGGUACAGAGUAUCGUAAACCUCUUUUGUCAGGGAACAAAGACUGGGACGCGUCCCCGGAUGAGUGUACCUGAAGAAAAAGCAUCGGCUAACUCCGUGCCAGCAGCCGCGGUAAUACGGAGGAUGCGAGCGUUAUCCGGAUUUAUUGGGUUUAAAGGGUGCGCAGGCGGUCUGUUAAGUCAGCGGUGAAAGCCCGGGGCUCAACCCCGGCCCGCCGUUGAAACUGGCAGUCUCGAGUUGGAGAGAAGUAUGCGGAAUGCGCGGUGUAGCGGUGAAAUGCAUAGAUAUCGCGCAGAACUCCGAUUGCGAAGGCAGCAUGCCGGCUCCACACUGACGCUGAGGCACGAAAGCGUGGGUAUCGAACAGGAUUAGAUACCCUGGUAGUC
rnacentral:rRNA from 1 species